rnacentral:sRNA from 1 species
UCAAUGAUCGGACCACAUCUUGGUGCAAU